GACGAACGCUGGCGGCGUGCUUAACACAUGCAAGUCGAACGGAAAGGCCCUGCUUUUGUGGGGUGCUCGAGUGGCGAACGGGUGAGUAACACGUGAGUAACCUGCCCUUGACUUUGGGAUAACUUCAGGAAACUGGGGCUAAUACCGGAUAGGAGCUCCUGCUGCAUGGUGGGGGUGGGAAAUUUUCGGCGGUUGGGGUGGGACUGGCGGCUUAUCAGCUUGUUGGUGGGGUAGUGGCUUACCAAGGCUUUGACGGGUAGCCGGCCUGAGAGGGUGACCGGCCACAUUGGGACUGAGAUACGGCCCAGACUCCUACGGGAGGCAGCAGUGGGGAAUAUUGCACAAUGGGCGGAAGCCUGAUGCAGCAACGCCGCGUGCGGGAUGACGGCCUUCGGGUUGUAAACCGCUUUCGCCUGUGACGAAGCGUGAGUGACGGUAAUGGGUAAAGAAGCACCGGCUAACUACGUG
rnacentral:rRNA from 1 species